rnacentral:rRNA from 1 species
AAUGGGUCAGCGACUUAUAUUCUGUAGCAAGGUUAACCGAAUAGGGGAGCCGAAGGGAAACCGAGUCUUAACUGGGCGUUAAGUUGCAGGGUAUAGACCCGAAACCCGGUGAUCUAGCCAUGGGCAGGUUGAAGGUUGGGUAACACUAACUGGAGGACCGAACCGACUAAUGUUGAAAAAUUAGCGGAUGACUUGUGGCUGGGGGUGAAAGGCCAAUCAAACCGGGAGAUAGCUGGUUCUCCCCGAAAGCUAUUUAGGUAGCGCCUCGUGAAUUCAUCUCCGGGGGUAGAGCACUGUUUCGGCAAGGGGGUCAUCCCGACUUACCAACCCGAUGCAAACUGCGAAUACCGGAGAAUGUUAUCACGGGAGACACACGGCGGGUGCUAACGUCCGUCGUGAAGAGGGAAACAACCCAGACCGCCAGCUAAGGUCCCAAAGUC